rnacentral:rRNA from 1 species
GACAGAGGUGCCGAGCGUUAGGCGGAAUCACUGGGCUUAAAGCGUGUGUAGGCGGGUCGUUAAGUGUCUUGUGAAAUCCCACCGCUCAACGGUGGAACUGCUGGGCAUACUGGCGAUCUUGAGCCACCUAGGGGCAGACGGAACAAGCGGUGGGGCGGUGAAAUGCGUAGAUAUCGCUUGGAACGCCGACGGUGAAAACAGUCUGCUGGGGGUGUGCUGACGCUGAGACACGAAAGCCAGGGGAGCGAACGGG